CAUGUGCCUGCCAGAGGACCAAACUCUGAAUAUUAGUGAUGUCUGAGUACUAUAUAAUAGUUAAAACUUUCAACAACGGAUCUCUUGGUUCUGGCAUCGAUGAAGAACGCAGCGAAAUGCGAUAAGUAAUGUGAAUUGCAGAAUUCAGUGAAUCAUCGAAUCUUUGAACGCACAUUGCGCCCUGUGGUAUUCCGCAGGGCAUGCCUGUUCGAGCGUCAUU
rnacentral:rRNA from 1 species